rnacentral:rRNA from 1 species
UGGGGAAUAUUGCACAAUGGGGGAAACCCUGAUGCAGCGACGCCGCGUGAGCGAAGAAGGUUUUCGAAUCGUAAAGCUCUGUCCUAUGAGAAGAUAAUGACGGUAUCAUAGGAGGAAGCCCCGGCUAACUACGUGCCAGCAGCCGCGGUAAUACGUAGGGGGCUAGCGUUGUCCGGAAUCACUGGGCGUAAAGGGUUCGCAGGCGGAAAUGCAAGUCAGGUGUAAAAGGCAGUAGCUUAACUACUGUAAGCAUUUGAAACUGCAUAUCUUGAGAAGAGUAGAGGUAAGUGGAAUUUUUAGUGUAGCGGUGAAAUGCGUAGAUAUUAAAAAGAAUACCGGUGGCGAAGGCGACUUACUGGGCUCAUUCUGACGCUGAGGAACGAAAGCGUGGGUAGCAAACAGG